rnacentral:lncRNA from 1 species
GAAUGGAAAAUUUGGUUGCAACUCUCCGCAGCCACACAACUCCAGCUGAUUACCGUCUCUGUAAAUUGCUUUGCUCUCUGGUGUCUGAUCUUGUCCAGCAGCUUUAAGACACCAUAUCUACCUUGCCAGCCAUCCCUGUUCCCAACGACAACCAAUUGUAGGAUUCUGACGUCUUCAUAUAUUUCACAUCCUUGGACUCCAGCUCCCCACCGCAGCCAGCCUUGCACUGCUCUUCCUGACAUUAAAUUCCUGCUUCCUUACAACUUAGAUUUUCCUUUAAGUCACAGUAGGCACACAACCCAUGCAAUGCUGCUCAGCCCCUGGAACAGUUCACCUCAAUACUGGCUCCCAUGAGCAGUUUCCAGUACCCUCCUAGAUGACGCUUGAGCAAGUCCCACCAUUCCAUGGGUGACUUCCAAAAACCAAGUUGGGAAAACAUCUAGGACCUCAGAACAUAGGCAGGCCACCUACCACUGACUCUUCCAAACUGCCACAACCCACUUAACAAAUACCUGAGUGA